rnacentral:rRNA from 1 species
UGCAGUCGAACGAGGUUAAUUUUGUAGCAAUACACGAUUAACCUAGUGGCGAACGGGUGCGUAACACGUGAGCAAUCUGCCGGGAAGUGGGGGAUAGCUCGCCGAAAGGCGAAUUAAUACCGCAUGUGGCCAGAGGGGACAUCCCCUCGAAGCCAAAGUCGCAAGACGCUUCCUGAUGAGCUCGCGGCCUAUCAGCUAGUUGGUGAGGUAACGGCUCACCAAGGCUUUGACGGGUAGCUGGUCUGAGAGGACGACCAGCCACACUGGAACUGAGACACGGUCCAGACACCUACGGGUGGCAGCAGUCGAGAAUUUUUCACAAUGGGGGAAACCCUGAUGGAGCGACGCCGCGUGGAGGAUGAAGGUCUUCGGAUUGUAAACUCCUGUCAUGCGAGAACAAGAAAGUGAUAGUAUCGCAAGAGGAAGAGACGGCUAACUCUGUGCCAGCAGCCGCGGUAAUACAGAGGUCUCAAGCGUUGUUCGGAUUCAUUGGGCGUAAAGGGUGCGUAGGCGGCGUGGUAAGUUGAGUGUGAAAUCCUGGGGCUUAACCUCAGAACUGCACUCAAUACUGCCAUGCUCGAGGAAUGUAGAGGAGAGUGGAAUUCACGGUGUAGCAGUGAAAUGCGUAGAUAUCGUGAGGAAGACCAGUUGCGAAGGCGACUCUCUGGGCAUUUCCUGACGCUGAGGCACGAAGGCCAGGGGAGCAAACGGGAUUAGAUACCCCGGUAGUC